CACGUAGGGCGCAAGCGUUGUCCGGAAUUAUUGGGCGUAAAGAGCUCGUAGGCGGUCUGUUGCGUCCGCUGUGAAAACUCGGGGCUUAACCCCGAGCCUGCAGUGGAUACGGGCAGACUAGAGGUAGGUAGGGGAGAAUGGAAUUCCCGGUGUAGCGGUGAAAUGCGUAGAUAUUGGGAGGAACACCAGUGGCGAAGGCGGCUCACUGGACCGGUUCUGACGCUGAGGCGCGAAAGCGUGGGGAGCAAACGGG
rnacentral:rRNA from 2 species